CGAACGGGUGAGUAACACGUGAGCAAUCUGCCCCUGACUCCGGAAUAACUACGGGAAACUGUAGCUAAUACCGGAUAUGCGCCGAACAGGCAUCUGUAUCGGUGGGAAAGAAUUUCGGUCAGGGAUGAGCUCGCGGCCUAUCAGCUUGUUGGUGAGGUAACGGCUCACCAGGGCGACGACGGGUAGCCGGCCUGAGAGGGUGACCGGCCACAUUGGGACUGAGACACGGCCCAG
rnacentral:rRNA from 1 species